rnacentral:rRNA from 1 species
GAUGAACGCUGGCGGCGUGCUUAACACAUGCAAGUCGAACGGUGAACGAGGGAGCUUGCUCCCUCCGGAUCAGUGGCGAACGGGUGAGUAACACGUGAGCAAUCUGCCCUGGACUCUGGGAUAAGCGUUGGAAACGACGUCUAAUACCGGAUACGAGGCGUGGGGGCAUCCCCAACGCCUGGAAAGAACUUCGGUCCAGGAUGAGCUCGCGGCCUAUCAGCUAGUUGGUGAGGUAACGGCUCACCAAGGCGACGACGGGUAGCCGGCCUGAGGGGGUGACCGACCACACUGGGACUGGGACACGGCCCAGACUCCUACGGGAGGCAGCAGUGGGGAAUAUUGCACAAUGGGCGCAAGCCUGAUGCAGCAACGCCGCGUGAGGGACGACGGCCUUCGGGUUGUAAACCUCUUUUAGCAGGGAAGAAGCGAAAGUGACGGUACCUGCAGAAAAAGCACCGGCUAACUACGUGCCAGCCGCCGCUGUAAUAC